AGGGCGGUGACGUGACCCCGCUCCUUCCCCCGCGCGGAACUGGAGAUAGUGGAUGAUGGGUACUACCUCCUCAGCAUCCCAGCUGUUGCAAGGACCUUAAGACCACAGCAAUCUCUAAGAAGGGUUGCUUUACUUCUAAAAAAGCUUCAGUGAUGACCACCUGCUUUUCUCUAGUAGCACCCAUCGUGGCAUUCUAAUGAAAGCAAAAUAUGAUUCUUUAAUUAUUGCUUUUCUGUCUGUCUGAGGAACUGGGUCACUUGGAGAGUUAACUCUUACAUUUCUCAAUAAUUUGGGCAAUGACUAUCUUAAAUGAAUGAUGGAAGGUGGGUGAGGCCUAUGCCAUAGAAUACUUCAGACUUUCUUGAAGCAUUUUUCCGUACUUCUCAAACCCACCCAAAUACUCUGAUGACAGAGGCCAUCACUUACCUCCUGCAUUUAAAGGCAAUAAAGUCCAUCUGAAGA